AACGAACGCUGGCGGCAGGCCUAAAACAUGCAAGUCGAGCGCCCAGCAAUGGGAGCGGCGGACGGGUGAGUAACACGUGGGAAUGUACCUUUCGGUGCGGAACAACUCAGGGAAACUUGAGCUAAUGCCGCAUACGCCCUUACGGGGAAAGAUUUAUCGCCGAAAGAUCAGCCCGCGUUGGAUUAGCUUGUUGGUGAGGUAAUGGCUCACCAAGGCGACGAUCCAUAGCUGGUUUGAGAGAACGACCAGCCACACUGGGACUGAGACACGGCCCAGACUCCUACGGGAGGCAGCAGUUGGGAAUCUUGGACAAUGGGGGAAACCCUGAUCCAGCCAUGCCGCGUGAGUGAUGAAGGCCUUCGGGUUGUAAAACUCUUUCGACGGGGACGAUAAUGACGGUACCCGUAGAAGAAGCUCCGGCUAACUUCGUGCCAGCCGCCGCGGUAA
rnacentral:rRNA from 1 species